rnacentral:rRNA from 1 species
GUGCCAGCCGCCGCGGUAAUACGUAGGGGGCAAGCGUUAUCCGGAAUCAUUGGGCGUAAAGGGUGCGUAGGCGGCCUUAUAAGUCAGAGGUCAAAGGCUACGGCUCAACCGUAGUAAGCCUUUGAAACUGUAGGGCUUGAGUGCAGGAGAGGAGAGUGGAAUUCCUAGUGUAGCGGUGAAAUGCGUAGAUAUUAGGAGGAACACCAGUGGCGAAGGCGACUCUCUGGACUGCAACUGACGCUGAGGCACGAAAGCGUGGGUAGCGAACAGGAUUAGAUACCCUGGUAGUCCACGCCGUAAACGAUGAGUGCUAGGUGUCGGGGGUCAAACCUCGGUGCCGCAGUUAACGCAUUAAGCACUCCGCCUGGGGAGUACGUACGCAAGUAUGAAACUCAAAUAAAUUGACGG